CAUUUGGAGUGGCACGGCCAUGUGAACCCUUAUGUAUGUCAAAGGCUAGAGUGGUACAGCGUAUCGUGCUGUCCCUGAGCAUGUGUUUCCAAUGGACCAUGACCUUGUAACCAGCCCAGGCAGGCAAGGGAAAUGGCACUGUUGAGACCAGUCCUUUGCUUGGACCUAUGGGUGAGGAAAGGACCCCAGUGAACACAGAGGCCUCCGGGGGCAUCACGCAGUGGUUCCCCAUCUGUGCAACAAUCCACUCAGGACCCGAGGGCAGACAGGGAGCAGAACGCCUCACUGCUGCCAAUCCAGUCCCUGAGAAGCACUUCCGGUUCAGCCAGUUCAAGAAAUUAAAUGAUGAGAAUUGCACAGGUCUGGGAUAAUGGUGCCUGGGUGAGAACGAAACACAAGCACCACUCCUUUCCCCCAUCGAGUAGGCCGAAAACUGCACAAUCGGGUCUUGCGGGCUCUGUGCGUCCUGGCGAACAUCCAAGAUCAGAAGUCGCACCACAGGUUCUGCAACCACAUUCGCCAUGGCCAGGAGCGGCCCACCCACCGCCAGGCUCCACAGCCCUCUCCACGAACACAGGGAUGCCUGGAACACUGCUCAUGGAAGACACAAGAAAGAAUUUAAAGCAGUCAGGAUCUCCCAGGAAUCCCAUAUAAGAGUUUGGCAGUAGCCAGAGCAGUUCUAAGGAACUUUGAAAAAGAGGAUGGGGGAGAAAAGACCAAAACAGCUCGUUUCUUUCUUCCAGUUCAAAUUUCUUUUCCCUUUGGACUUUUAGACAGACCAGCUUUGAAGAGAACGUCAACUUCAGAGGCAAGAACCCAAGGCCCCUGUACUGCCUCUGCAGAAGAGGGAGGUUCCGGGCCAGGGACGCAGGGGCUGGAGUCUGGGAACUUUGCUGGAAACAGCGGGACUCGAGCCACUCUUCCCUGGGUAGGGAAAUGGGCACCGCAGCUCCCGGACCGCUGGGACUUCUCCCUGCUGCCGCUGGAGUCCUCUUCCUCCCCGGGACAGCAAAGCCUGAGCUCAGGCGUGGGCAAAGAGCAUGGAAGGGCAAGGUGCCCCUCACCCUGGCAGCACCUUCAGUCACACCAGCUGCAGGUGAACACGGACCAGGCACGCCCAGAGUCAGGCACAUGGUACCAGGUGCUUGGCCCCUGCAGGACGAGGUGUGGCACUGCUGUCACCAGAAGGCCUGGGGCUCUCAAACAGCAACUUGUGGAAAAUUUGUGGCAGCUUAAAUUUGGAGCCUGCAGCUACCAGGCAAGAAACCAAGGCACCAAGAAUGCAGGGACAGGGGACAGCACAC
rnacentral:lncRNA from 1 species